rnacentral:rRNA from 1 species
GACGAACGCUGGCGGCGUGCUUAACACAUGCAAGUCGAACGGAAAGGCCCUGCUUUUGUGGGGUGCUCGAGUGGCGAACGGGUGAGUAACACGUGAGUAACCUGCCCUUUACUUUGGGAUAACUUCAGGAAACUGGGGCUAAUACCGGAUAGGAGCUCCUGCUGCAUGGUGGGGGUUGGAAAGUUUCGGCGGUUGGGGAUGGACUCGCGGCUUAUCAGCUUGUUGGUGGGGUAGUGGCUUACCAAGGCUUUGACGGGUAGCCGGCCUGAGAGGGUGACCGGACACAUUGGGACUGAGAUACGGCCCAGACUCCUACGGGAGGCAGCAGUGGGGAAUAUUGCACAAUGGGCGGAAGCCUGAUGCAGCAACGCCGCGUGCGGGAUGACGGCCUUCGGGUUGUAAACCGCUUUCGCCUGUGACGAAGCGUGAGUGACGGUAAUGGGUAAAGAAGCACCGGCUAACUACGUG